rnacentral:misc_RNA from 1 species
GAAAUGCGAUAAGUAGUGUGAAUUGCAGAAUUCAGUGAAUCAUCGAAUCUUUGAACGCACAUUGCGCCCGUUGGUAUUCCAACGGGCAUGCCUGUUCGAGCGUCAUUGGCCUCUCCAGCUACUGCUGGGUGCUGGGCGUUUGUUCCGCCGCGUGCGCGAACUCGCCCCAAAUGCAUUGGCCGCCGGGGAUCCCGUCGAGGAGCGCAGCACAGUUCCGCACCCCCCGACGAGAUCGCGGCGCCCAUCAAGCCGACACUGUACGCUUGACCUCGGAUCAGGUAGGGAUACCCGCUGAACUUAA